GCCGCGGUAGUGUAGCCAGACGAUUUCGGGUUAAGUCAAGCAUAGGAGGCUCUCGACCUUCUGACGGGGGUUCGAAGCAAGAACUAACUAAAAAGCGAAAAUCCCCCCCGCGGCACCA
rnacentral:tRNA from 1 species